rnacentral:tRNA from 1 species
GCAGUGGUGGUUCAGGGGUAGAAUUUUCUCCAUGUGGGAGACCUGGGUUCAAUUCCCAGUCAGUGCA